AACGAACGCUGGCGGCAUGCCUAACACAUGCAAGUCGAACGAGACCUUCGGGUCUAGUGGCGCACGGGUGCGUAACGCGUGGGAAUCUGCCCUUAGGUUCGGAAUAACUCAGGGAAACUUGAGCUAAUACCGGAUAAUGACGUAAGUCCAAAGAUUUAUCGCCUAGGGAUGAGCCCGCGUAGGAUUAGCUAGUUGGUGGGGUAAAGCCUACCAAGGCGACGAUCCUUAGCUGGUCUGAGAGGAUGAUCAGCCACACUGGGACUGAGACACGGCCCAGACUCCUACGGGAGGCAGCAGUGGGGAAUAUUGGACAAUGGGCGAAAGCCUGAUCCAGCAAUGCCGCGUGAGUGAUGAAGGCCUUAGGGUUGUAAAGCUCUUUUACCCGGGAUGAUAAUGACAGUACCGGGAGAAUAAGCUCCGGCUAACUCCGUGCCAGCCGCCGCAGUAAU
rnacentral:rRNA from 1 species